AGUGAACGCUGGCGGUAGGCCUAACACAUGCAAGUCGAACGGCAGCACAGGAGAGCUUGCUCUCUGGGUGGCGAGUGGCGGAGGGGUGAGGAAUACAGCAGAAUCUACUCAGUCGUGAGGGAUAACGUAGGGAAACUUACGCUAAUACCGCAUAUGCACUACGGGUGAAAGCAGGGGACCUUCGGGCCUUGCUCAGUUGAAUGAGCCGCUAUCGGAUUAGCUAGUUGGCGGGGUAAAGGCCCACCAUGGCGAGGAUCCGUAGCGGGUAUGAGAGGAUGAUCAGCCAAACUGGAACCGGGACACGGUCCAGACUCCUACGGGAGGCAGCAGUGGGGAAUAUUGGACAAGGGGCGCAAGCCUGAUCCAGUCAUACCGCGUGGGUGAAGAAGGCCUUCGGGUUGUAAAGCCCUUUUGUUGGGAAAGAAAUCCAGCUGGCGAAUACGCGGUUGGAAUGAGGGUACCCAAAGAAUAAGCACCGGCUAACUUCGUGCCAGCCGCCGCCGUAA
rnacentral:rRNA from 1 species